rnacentral:rRNA from 1 species
AGUGGCGGACGGGUGAGUAACGCGUGAGAAUCUGCCUUGGGGUCGGGGACAACCACUGGAAGCGGUGGCUAAUACCGGAUACGCCUUCGGGUAAAAGAUUUAUUGCCCUAAGAGGAGCUCGCGUCUGAUUAGCUAGUUGGUGAGGUAAGAGCUCACCAAGGCAGCGAUCAGUAGCUGGUCUGAGAGGACGAUCAGCCACACUGGGACUGAGACACGGCCCAGACUCCUACGGGAGGCAGCAGUGGGGAAUUUUCCGCAAUGGGCGAAAGCCUGACGGAGCAAGACCGCGUGAGGGAGGAAGGCUCUUGGGUUGUAAACCUCUUUUCUCAGGGAAGAAGCUCUGACGGUACCUGAGGAAUCAGCCUCGGCUAACUCCGUGCCAGCAGCCGCGGUAAUACGGAGGAGGCAAGCGUUAUCCGGAAUUAUUGGGCGUAAAGCGUCCGCAGGUGGCGAUUCAAGUCUGCUGUCAAAGCACGGGGCUUAACUCCGUAAAGGCAGUGGAAACUGAAUAGCUAGAGUGCCGUAGGGGUAGAGGGAAUUCCCGGUGUAGCGGUGAAAUGCGUAGAGAUCGGGAAGAACAUCGGUGGCGAAAGCGCUCUACUGGACGGCAACUGACACUCAGGGACGAAAGCUAGGGGAGCGAAUGGGAUUAGAUACCCC